rnacentral:rRNA from 1 species
GCAGAAUUCGCCUUAGAGUUUGAUCCUGGCUCAGGAUGAACGCUGGCGGUAUGCUUUACACAUGCAAGUCGUACGAGAGUUUUUAACUCAAGUGGCGGACGGGUGAGUAACACGUAAGAAUUUGCCUUUAGGAGGGGGAUAACAACUGGAAACGGUUGCUAAUACCCCAUAUGCUUUCGAGUAAAAUGGAUUUUCCGCCUAAAGAGAAGCUUGCGGCUGAUUAGCUUGCUGGUGAGGUAAUGGCUCACCAAGGCGACGAUCAGUAUCUGGUUUGAGAGGACGAUCAGACACACUGGAACUGAGACACGGUCCAGACUCCUACGGGAGGCAGCAGUGGGGAAUUUUCCGCAAUGGGCGAAAGCCUGACGGAGCAAUACCGCGUGAGGGAUGACGGCCUAUGGGUUGUAAACCUCUUUUUUCAGGGAGGAAUCAAUGACGUGUACCUGAAGAAUAAGCAUCGGCUAACUCCGUGCCAGCAGCCGCGGUAAGACGGAGGAUGCAAGUGUUAUCCGGAAUCACUGGGCGUAAAGCGUCUGUAGGUGGUCAAAUAAGUCAACUGUUAAAUCUUGAGGCUCAACCUCAAAAUCGCAGUCGAAACUAUUCGACUAGAGUAUAGUAGGGGUAAAGGGAAUUUCCAGUGGAGCGGUGAAAUGCGUAGAGAUUGGAAAGAACACCGAUGGCGAAGGCACUUUACUGGGCUAUUACUAACACUGAGAGACGAAAGCUAGGGUAGCAAAUGGGAUUAGAUACCCCAGUAGUCCUAGCCGUAAACAAUGGAUACUAGAUGUUGAACAGAUCGACCUGUGCAGUAUCAAAGCUAACGCGUUAAGUAUCCCGCCUGGGAAGUAUGCUCGCAAGAGUGAAACUCAAAUGAAUUGACGGGGAAGGGC